AAAUAUUUAAGUUAAAAAAAUAAUAUGUAUAAAAAGCAUAUUUAAAAUUGAUUUCAAGUGCUAUAAAAAAUUAGUUAAUAUUGUUUCAGAUAAUUCUUAGUUUAUAAUAAAAUAAUUUUAUUAGGUAUUUUAAUCGUUUUGUUUUUAAAAAAUAUGUAUAAUAUUCCUAUUUUAAAAUCGACACCAUAAAUCCCCUAUUAAGUUUUAUUGAAUGUCGUAAUGAAAAUUAAAAUUAAUUAUAUAUGAAGGAAUAUAAGAAGAUUUC
rnacentral:lncRNA from 1 species